rnacentral:rRNA from 1 species
UACGUAGGGGGCUAGCGUUGUCCGGAUUUAUUGGGCGUAAAGAGCGUGUAGGCGGCCUGGUAGGUCUGCUGUGAAAACUCGAGGCUCAACCUCGAGAUGUCGGCGGAAACCAUCUGGCUAGAGUCCGGAAGAGGAGAGUGGAAUUCCUGGUGUAGCGGUGAAAUGCGCAGAUAUCAGGAAGAACACCUAUGGCGAAGGCAGCUCUCUGGGACGGUACUGACGCUGAGACGCGAAAGCUAGGGGGGCAAACGGG